rnacentral:rRNA from 1 species
GCAAGUCGAGCGGUAGAAUAUUAAUUGAAGCUUCGGCUGAUUUUGAUAUUUGAGAGCGGCGAACGGGUGAGUAACACGUUGGUAUCUGCCCCCAAGUCAGGGAUAGCCAUUGGAAACGAUGAUUAAUACCGGAUAGUCUCUUCGGAGUAAAGAUUUAUUGCUUGGGGAGGAGCCUGCGUUCUAUCAGCUAGUUGGUAAGGUAAAAGCUUACCAAGGCUAUGACGGAUACCUGGUCUGAGAGGAUGAUC